AGUGAACGCUGGCGGUAGGCCUAACACAUGCAAGUCGAACGGCAGCACAGGAGAGCUUGCUCUCUGGGUGGCGAGUGGCGGACGGGUGAGGAAUACAUCGGAAUCUACCCUGUCGUGGGGGAUAACGUAGGGAAACUUACGCUAAUACCGCAUACGACCUACGGGUGAAAGCAGGGGACCUUCGGGCCUUGCGCGAUUGAAUGAGCCGGUGUCGGAUUAGCUAGUUGGCGGGGUAAAGGCCCACCAAGGCGACGAUCCGUAGCUGGUCUGAGAGGAUGAUCAGCCACACUGGAACUGAGACACGGUCCAGACUCCUACGGGAGGCAGCAGUGGGGAAUAUUGGACAAUGGGCGCAAGCCUGAUCCAGCCAUACCGCGUGGGUGAAGAAGGCCUUCGGGUUGUAAAGCCCUUUUGUUGGGAAAGAAAUCCAGCUGGCUAAUACCCGGUUGGGAUGACGGUACCCAAAGAAUAAGCACCGGCUAACUUCGUGCCAGCCGCCGCCGUAA
rnacentral:rRNA from 1 species